rnacentral:lncRNA from 1 species
UCAAGCUCUUUGUAUCCCUUUCUUGUGAAUGGAGGGUGUGCUUCGGAAGCUUUUUCUUCAGUCCACUCUCUUUAGAGAGGUCUUUUAAUAGACUCCAAUUCAAUUCAAAUAAUUUUUUAUGGACCUUCCUCUACUCCACUUUGUGAGCAAAGGAAGUGAGCUCCAUAUUUAAUUUAUUGCUAAUUUAGUUUAUUUUCAGAAGUUUUCUUUUUCCUUGGCCCUUUCAUUCGGGGAUUUUAUCUGGAGAGUGAGACACCUUUUAAAUAGCGACUCGACAACAAAGUUAUAUAAGGUUUUAAGCAAUCCUUUUAUAUGUUUGACCUAAAUAAUGUAUGGAAAAGACUAUAAUUGUUGGAAAAGUAAAGCCUUUGAACAGGAGCUUUUUACUUUUUGACGAUGUUUUUCAACCAAUUGAAUUUUUGCUUCAAGUGUGUCUUCAUUGUGAAGAAUAGGAGCUUGGUAGUUAGUUAUUUAAUUUCUCUUUGGACACUGUCAUUAUUAACAUGGAGAUUUAUAAUAAUGUCUUUCGUAUGAUUAAAAUUAGAGUCAUCACUCCAUUUUUCUACUGAUUUUUUUAGCCAACUAUGCUUCAUACACGAUAUUUUAUAUAUUAUUCAUGAGAGUGGUUCUAUCAAAUCGGGUAAUUCAACAUUUUCUUUCAGUUCAGGAAAGUUGGGUUUACCACAUGGAAACCUCUCUGGAAUUUCAAAGGAAAGCAGCUUUGAAGUCAUUGAUUUCUUGGUACCAUUGUCAACUUAAUCGCUGAAUAAAGCACUCUAAACGUGCAUGGGAAAACUUGCUCAAAUUACCCCAGUCUCCUCUAUAUCGACUCAAGAUACUCUAAGGGACUCUAUUUAGAUCAACCAUGGAGCGAUGUUGAAUAUUGUUUUCAAAUUUUCCAACUGGUAUCAUAUUUUUCCCAGCUCAAGUAUGGAUUUUUGUUUUCAAUUCAUCACAUAAAUAAAUAUAAUCGUAACUUCUUGUCAGACA